UCCUCUCGGGAGUUUGGGGUGGUCCCUGGGGUCAGCACCCUGCGGCUUCCACAG
rnacentral:miRNA from 1 species